rnacentral:rRNA from 1 species
GAUGAACGCUGGCGGCGUGCCUAAUACAUGCAAGUCGAGCGAACAGACGAGGAGCUUGCUCCUCUGACGUUAGCGGCGGACGGGUGAGUAACACGUGGAUAACCUACCUAUAAGACUGGGAUAACUUCGGGAAACCGGAGCUAAUACCGGAUAAUAUAUUGAACCGCAUGGUUCAAUAGUGAAAGACGGUUUUGCUGUCACUUAUAGAUGGAUCCGCGCCGCAUUAGCUAGUUGGUAAGGUAACGGCUUACCAAGGCAACGAUGCGUAGCCGACCUGAGAGGGUGAUCGGCCACACUGGAACUGAGACACGGUCCAGACCCCUACGGGAGGCAGCAGUAGGGAAUCUUCCGCAAUGGGCGAAAGCUUGACGGAGCGACGCCGCGUGAGUGAUGAAGGUCUUCGGAUCGUAAAACUCUGUUAUUAGGGAAGAACAAAUGUGUAAGUAACUAUGCACGUCUUGACGGUACCUGAUCAGAAAGCCACGGCUAACUACGUG